ACUGCUUAUUUAUCAGGUAAAAUGCAUGUCAAUUUUCUAUUGCUCUGUAAUUUAUUACAGUUAAUUUACAAAGUUAGCAGCUUCGCAACACACAUUGCCUCUUUUUUUUUUUUUCCCUCUCUUUGGUACCAGAGAUUGAACUCAGAGGUGCUCAACCACUGAGCCACAUCCACAGCCCUUUUUUAAAAAUUUGAAUCGUGGUCUUGCUAAGUUGCCCUAAGAGCCUUGCUAAGUUGCUGAAGCUGUCCUCAAACCUGAGAUCCUCCUACCAUAGCCUCCUGAGCUGCGGGGAUUACAGGUGUAUCCCACCACACACAGCCAUUACCUCUUUCUGUAAGUCAGAAUUUAGGCACAGCUUAGCUGGGUUCUCUGCUUCAGGGCCAUUCUAGGCUGCUCUCAGGGACUGGCUGGGGCUGUGUUCUCAUCAGAGGCUCAAGUGGAGAAAUGUUCACCUCCAGGCUCCCUCAGAUUGUUGGCAGAGUUCAUCUCCUACUACUGUAGGAUAGAACUGGGGUUCCCGUUUUCCUGCUGGCCUUCAGCCAGGGACAGCACUCAGCUACUGGACGGACGCCGCAGCAGUUCUUGCCCUGAAACCCUCCACCAUGGAAGCUUACUUCUCCAAAGCCAGCAAUAGCAGGAGCAUCUCUGACCCUCUGAGAAAGACUGGCUCCUCUUUCAAAGUCUUCCCGGCUGACUUCCUGAGGCCUGCCCACAGAAAUCCUCCUUUGGAUCACUUCAGAACCAACUAACCUGGGACCUCAAUGACAUCUGUAAAGCACUUUCACCCUUCCAUAGUCUGUUGGCUGGAAGUGAGUCAGGUCCCAACCUGAGGAGGGAUUACACAGGUGUGAACACCAGGCAGUGGGGGCCAAGAUCUGUCUACCACAGUUUUUUUUUUCCCCUACAUCAUUGUGUAUUUUACUAUGAUACAAUGUUAAUGUCCUCAUUGCAUUCCACUGUGCGGAUGACUAUAUUUUAUGUAAGUACUUAUUACUGAACAUGAAAUAGAUGAUACAGACAUUUAAAUUCAUUCCUUCUUUCCCUUUUCUAUUACAAACAGUGCUGGAGAGAACACCUUUCUGCCUAUGUCUUUAUUUGUUUAGAACAAACUCCUGGAGGGCUGGGGGUGGAGCUCAGUGGUAGAACACUUGCCUUGCGUGUGCAAGGCUCUGGGUUCAAUCUCCAACACCAAAAACCAAAACAAACACCUAGAGAAACCCAAAGACACCUUCCACAAGAAUGACACAUUUGUCACAAUUGAUGAAUCUGCAUCAUCAUAAUCACUCCACAAGUCCAUAGUUUGCAUUGGUAUUAUAUAUUCUAUGACAAAUAUAUAAUAAUGUGGAUCCACCAUUAUAGUAACAUACAGAGUAGCUUCAUUGUCCUAAAUAUUCUCUGUGCUUCACUUUAUUCAUCCUUUCUUCUCUGCUAACUCUUAGCAGCCACCGAUCUUUUUAAUGUCUCCAAUUUUGCCUUUUCCAGAAUGUCACAUAGUUGGAAUCUUUCAGUAAGUAGCCUUUUCCGAUAGGUUUCUUUCACUUAAUAAAAUGCAUUUAAGCUCCUUCUGAUUCUUUAAUGGAUUGAUAGCUCAUUUCUCUUGUCUAUUUUCCAUCUUGUCUAUUUUCUCUUCAUCCAGUCCAUUGUCUAGAUGUAUCAGUUUCUUUAUCCAUCAUCUUAUGAAGGAGGACAUCUUGGUAGCUUCCAGGUUUUGACAGCUAUAAAGAAAGCUAUAAACACAGGCUUUUGAAUGAACAUGUCUUUAGUUUAUUUGGGUGAACAACAAGGAGUACUAUUGUUGAACUGGAGGUCCAAGUAUGAUUAUCUUGUAAGAAACUGCCAGACUGUCUUCCAAAAUGGCUGUACUAUCUUACAUUUCCACCAGCAAUCAAUGAGAGUCCCUGUUGUUCCACAUUCUUGGGGCAUUUGGUGUUGUCAGUGUUUGGGAUUUUGGUCAUUCCAAUAGGUGUGUAGUGGUAUCUUCUUCUUAUUAUUUUUUAGUUGUAGAUAGACACAAUACCUUUAUUUUAUUUAUUUGUCUUUUUAUGUGGUCUGAGGAUUGAACCCAGAGCCUCACACAUGCUAGUUAAGCGCUUUACCACUGAGCACCAAACCCAACCCUUAUUGUUGUUUUAAUUUGAUAUGGAGCAUCUUUUCAUGUUUCUUUGCCAUCUAUAUAGCUCUUUGGUGAGGUGUCUGUUAAGUUCUUUGGCCCAUUUUAAAAUCAGGUUUUCACUCUCUUACUGUUGAGUUUUAAGAGAUCUCUGUGUAUUUUGGAUGGCAGAUCUUUAUCAGGUGUGUCUUUUACAAAUAUUUUCUCAGUCUGUGGCUUGUCUUUUCAUGCUCUUAACAUUUGCUUUUGCAGAACAGUUUUUAAUUCAAUAAAGCCCAGCUAACAAUUAUUUCUUUCAUGAAUUAGAACUGUGGUGAAACUAAAAAGUCAUCACAAAACCCAAGAACAUGCUUUCUUCUUGGAGUUUAUAAUUUUGUGUUUUAUAUGUAGGUCUAUGCUCCAUUUUGAUUUCAGUUUGUGAAGGAUUUAAGGUCUGUGUCUAGAUUUGUUUUCUUGCAUGCAUGGCUGGAAUUUUUUGCUGUAUUACUACUUUUGCUCUUUGGUCAAAGAUCAGUUGACUGUAUUUAUGUGGGUCUAUUUCUGGGCUCUCUAUUCUGUUCCAUUGAGCUAUUUGUCUAAUUUUUUUUCCAGUUCUGGGGAACAAGCCUAGGACUUGACCUCUGAGCUACAUCCCCGGUUAUUCUUUAACUAAUAUCAUUCUGCCUUGAUUACUGUAGCUUUUUUUUUUUGGGGGGGGGGUACCGGGGAUUGAACUCAGGGACACUCAAUCACUGAGUCACAUCCCCAGCCUUAUUUUUGUAUUUUUUUUAAAAAAUUUUUAGAGACAGGGUCACACUGAGUUGCUUAGCACUUGCUAAAUUGCUGAGGCUGGCUUUGAACUUGAGAUCCUCCUGCCUUCACCUCCCAAGCUGCUGGGAUUACAGGCAUUUGCCACUGUGCCUGGCUCAAUUACUGUAUCUUUAUAUCAAGUCUUGAAGCGAGACAGUGUCAGUCCUCCAACUUUGUUCUUCAAUACUGUGUUGGCUGUUCUGGGUCUUUGGCCUCUCCAUAUAAACUUUAGAAUCAUGUUGUCAAUAUCCACAAAACAACUUUUCCUGGGAUCUUGACUGAGAUUGCACUGAAUCUAAAGCUCAGUUUGGGACGGACUGACAUCUUGACAACACUGAGUUUACUGAUUUAUGAACAUGAACAAGAAUGUGGUUUCCACAAAUUACAUGUAUGAAGAUGUGAAUUUAGUGUCAACAUACCUUAUAUACAAUCAGAUAAAUUGUGGUAUAAAGGUGUAUUAAGAAUUGUAAUGCAAAAAAAUAAUAAUAAGAGAGCUCAUGUAUAAUGGCAUAAUUUGGAGUGAACAUACUUUAUAUACAGAGUUACAAAAAUGGUGUUGUGAAUGGAUAAUUAUGAUUGUAAAGCAUUCCACUAUUGUCAUGUAUGUAAGAAAAAAAAAAAAAAAACGAAUGUGUUUUCCGCUUGUGUGUCUUCCGGGUAAGCUGGGAUCCUGGCAUCUGCCUGUCUCUCCAGUUUGGAGGCAGCAGUUCAUCCUGUGUCCUCACUUCUCUUAUGGAUUCAAGACGAGUUAUUUUUUCCGUCUGUUCAGCUUUUCACUUGCUAGGACAAUGUGGCAACUUCCAGGCUCCUUAUAUGCCAAACCAG
rnacentral:lncRNA from 1 species